AUGCAAGUCGAGCGAUUUUCUUCGGAAGAGAGCGGCGGACGGGUGAGUAACGCGUGGGUAACCUGCCCUGUACACACGGAUAACAUACUGAAAGGUAUGCUAAUACGGGAUAACAUAAGAAAGUCGCAUGGCUUUCUUAUCAAAGCUUUUGCGGUACAGGAUGGACCCGCGUCUGAUUAGCUAGUUGGUAAGGUAACGGCUUACCAAGGCGACGAUCAGUAGCCGACCUGAGAGGGUGAUCGGCCACAUUGGAACUGAGACACGGUCCAAACUCCUACGGGAGGCAGCAGUGGGGAAUAUUGCACAAUGGGCGAAAGCCUGAUGCAGCAACGCCGCGUGAGCGAUGAAGGCCUUCGGGUCGUAAAGCUCUGUCCUCAAGGAAGAUAAUGACGGUACUUGAGGAGGAAGCCCCGGCUAACUACGUGCCAGCAGCCGCGGUAAUACGUAGGGGGCUAGCGUUAUCCGGAAUUACUGGGCGUAAAGGGUGCGUAGGCGGUCUUUCAAGUCAGAAGUGAAAGGCUACGGCUCAACCGUAGUAAGCUUUUGAAACUGUAAGACUUGAGUGCAGGAGAGGAGAGUGGAAUUCCUAGUGUAGCGGUGAAAUGCGUAGAUAUUAGGAGGAACACCAGUUGCGAAGGCGGCUCUCUGGACUG
rnacentral:rRNA from 1 species